rnacentral:rRNA from 1 species
UCAAAUCAGGUAGGGACUACCCCCUUGAACUUAAGCAUAUCAAUAA